CGGAUAUUUGACUUGUCAUUGUGUUUUCAGUUCAUCAAAGUUAGCUCCAACAUGUUGUUUGCCUGAAAAUAUCUUGUUCGGCGUUCAGUUGUUAUAAAAGACACUCAGAGGAAUCAGCGGUUCAGUUUUUCCGGUUUCCACACUGUGAAAACCGAGUGAUCUGUGCCAACAGAAGGAGGACCUCGUGUACAGAGCAGCCCAUUAGUUUCCAUUCAUCUGGUUGUGGAGAAGGGAGACUUCAUGGACAUCCUUAGUUCUCUAAUGUGCUGUGAUGAUGAUGGUAGAAAACCACUCCCAGUUCAGCUUCCUCUGAUGAAAUGACAGACUAACUGCUGAUGAGUUUGUUUAUUAUUCUCUGUCUUCAGUAUUCACAGGUUCAGUUUCUUACCUGCAACUUCAUUUCUGCUGUUGUUGACAGGUGAUAGUAGCAACACUUUUAAGAACAGAAUUUAUAAAUAUUAAACUGUGAUUAAGUGAUGGAUCAUCUUUAGCACUGUCACCACCUCCACAGGUGAAAGUAUUUACCAAGUAACAUCAGCAAGGUUUUUGAUCCUUCAUUGUCAGUGUUGUCGGACAACAUUUAAACAAUUCUAGUAUUUAUGUUGUUAAUUAAAGCUAACAUAAAAAUAGUCACACAAUGCUGUACAUGUUACUAUUGUGAAAAUUCAUACCAGAUGUGCUCUGUAAAAACCAGCAACAAAGUUAAAGCAAGAGCUUCAUAAAUAACUUUAUUGGACAUUAUAAACUACAUUAAUUUAAACAAUUUACAACACUGGAAAUGUAUAAAAGAAUGUAAUAAAUGGAUUAAUUAAAUACUGUAGUGUACAAUUUAUAAUCAACUAACUAUUUAAAAUCAAAAUACAGUUGUGGAUGAAGUUAAAGCUGAAUUUCUCUGUCAUAUGUAAGUUUGCUUAAUAAAAAGAAGUAGUUGAA